rnacentral:lncRNA from 1 species
GGAUUGCAUCUUUCAGUCCUAGUUUUAAACCGAAGUCAAUCCUCUGCUCUGACUCAGACAGUGAAGUUUUCCACCCCAGGAUAUGUGGCGUUGACAGAACACAGUACAGGGCUAUUCGCAUCUCUCCUAGGACUCACUUUCGCCCAAUUUCUGCAUCUGAACUGUCCCCGGGGGGAGGAAGCGAGUCGGAAUUUGAAUCUGAAAAAGACGAAGCAAAUAUUCCCAUUCCUUCUCAAGUUGACGCAUUUGAAGAUCCGCAGGCAGACCUCAAACCACUGGAAGAAGAUGCAGAGAAGGAAGGCCAUUACUAUGGAAAUCAGAGCUGGAGUCUGGAAAAUUCCUUCCCAGGUUAAAAAAAUCUGGAAUGGAAAAGAGUGCUCAGACAUCACUGGAUUCCCAGGAGGAAUCAGCUGGGAUUCUGCCAGUGGGAAAGCAGAGUCAGUGUUUGGAGUGUAGCAUGAAUGAAUCUCUGGAGAUCGACUUAGAAAGCUCAGAAGCAAAUUGUAAAAUGAUGGCACAAUGUGAGGAAGAACUUAAUCAUUUUUGCAGUUGCAAGGCAGGUUGUCAGUUCCCUGCUUACGAAGAUAAUCCGGUUUCUUCAGGACAGCUGGAAGAGUGUCCCUUUACGGACCUUGCAUUUCACCUGGUUCCAGAUGGGGAAGAAAGAAAAAGCGGCAAGAAGGGAGAUUCCACAUCAUAUCACUACCGUAUGCCUUCGCUUGCUAGUACGUGGAUAUAUUUACGUGUUACCAGAAGGCCGAGUUGUCUGGAAAGGUCUCGGCUGCCCAUGCCGUCCCCUGUGGGCGCCAGGGUCGUCCCGCAGCCUGGCUGCUGUCGCUGCUCUCAGCCCUGUCUCGGCAGCACACCUGCCGCUUAGAGCUCACGGCACAGGUUCAUCUAAGGGGCAGAAAGUCUGCGAGAGUGGCCUGAAGGGACAGUUCUGGGCCAGGCUGGGACCAGAACCUGUGCCGUUCACGCUCUCACACUGCCGGUCAGUCUUGGGGAGCUCCUGCCAGGCUCUGCUUUCCCCUUCUCUGAGUGAGGGCAGUCGUUACGGAGGGCCCAGCUCCGUUUUAAAAGUCACUCAGUUGCCCGUCUGUUUCAGAGCAAGUGGUCUAAAAUGUGGGAUUUCUAAUGGGAUGGGUACCUGGGAACAUGUCUUUUCAAAAGUUGAGUUGAGUUCAGCUCAGCCAACAUUAAGUAGACACUCAGCUCCUCACACCCGUUGCGGAGGUGGACGCCCGGGGCGACCGCGACGCCGUCCUCGUCCGGGAGAGUUCGGUCUCGUCCUGAGGACCAGUUUGUCUUCACUGCCGCAGGCAGUUCCCUCCUGUGUUCAAAUUCAGAAGGCACGAGGGGGUGCGUACACAGUGGACCCCCCCGCCCCAGCAUCAGCCACGAUGCUUGUAGGAACAGAUCCGUGUUCACGGAUGUUGCCUCCUACUCUUUUUUUUUUUUUUUUUUUAACUGAAAUGACACCCUUUCCUCUUACAUUUUCUGCAUAUUAUUCCAUUGUAUGGCUGUGCCAAGAUUAUCUAGCCAGUUCGUUAUCAUUUAGGGUGUUUGGGCCAAUGUAAUUUUAGGCAGCAUGGAAGGUGGCCUAGGGAGAGUGAGCACGGGGUGCUGUGGGAACCCAGAGGGCAACCGUCCCAGCCGCUGGGAGUUAGUUAGGAAGGGUAUUUUGCACCUACCUGAGCAUCCAGGGCCAAAAGGAGGCAGGACACUCUAGGCGGAAGAAACAGCGUAGCCCAGAGAUGAAGGGGUUUGCACUUUGCCACGUGUGCAGGGCAGCUGCCCACACUCAGGUCACGGCGCCGAGCCGCGCGCCCAGCUCUCCCUUUGUGCCCGCACUUGCGGCAGAAGUGUUAUGUCAUUUGCUUGAUUGCUGACUCCAUGCCAUGCACUGUAGACUACAGGGAAGCAGCAGCAGGCUUAGCCCUGUUUUCGGGGAUUUGCCGCCCAGGGGAGGAGCCUGGGAGUCCGAAGGUCUGACCGUCAAGGGCCGUCCUGGGGGUUGGAGCCCACCCGCUCUGCCGACUGCUUUGUCCCCACCAUCCUACUCAGUGUCCACGGCGACUUUCUGCACUAGGUUUGUUCCCCCAUGACCGCGGAGGACACGCUGAGGCCACGCAGGCCCAGAAGGUGGGCUGCCUGCCCGGGAGCCCGUGUGAGGCCAGAGCCCACGUGCUUUAUGCUCUGCACCUGCUUGGCAGUCACCGGGCAGCACAGCCCGGCAUGGGCGGCGCGUGGCUCCUGCUGCUCUCCGUUGCCCAGGACACCUCUCCACUCACAUUUCCUUUCUCCUCCUCCAAAGCACAGGCUCGUAGGAGGCUUGCUUCUCCUCUUGUGACCCACAUAACUGAGAAGUGGCUGUUCAGCAGGAAGGUGCUCUCGGGGCUCUGUCCCCAUGGCAGCGCUCAAAGAGGAAUAGCGAGCACCGUUCUCCUCCCCAGACUAGAAAUGUUUGUGAGAAUUAAAAGUGGUGAGCCUCUGUCUAACUUCCAUCUUCUGGAGAACGACUGAGUGUUACAUCUCUUGCUAAAGAUGUUUCUAGUAAGCCUUUCUGGAUGAAGGGCUUAUCUUCUCCCCCCGCACUGUUUCUUCAUUCAUUCUUCAAGUGUUAAGGGCUACUGCGUGCUACUAUUCUAGGGUGUGAUUGUAGGUGCUGAGUGUAAAGGCGUUUGUGGAGGUAGAGUCAGUGCCCAGCGGCACGUGAGAAGCUGGGUGAGAAUACCAGUGCUGCGGGAAAGAGCCGGAGGGGAGAGGUGGUGGGCGGAAGUGCUCGGAGGAGUUGGCGGUGAUAAGUACGGGUCAGGGCAGGCUUCCUCGCAGAGGUACAACUGAAGAAAGGCUUACAGGCGGAGAGGGAGCCAAGAAGCUCUUUGGAGCUUCUUUGGGGGUGCCUGGGGGGAGUGUUCUGUUCUGUUUUCCAUUUCCUCCGUUCCUUCAUUCCUUCCAUUCUCAACCAAACCGGAAGUUGAAUGAAUACAGUAAACAGGCAUCAUUUACACAAAGCACAGUCCUCUUUGCUGCAGCCUGAAAGUUGGAAAUGGCUGAGUGGAAAGAUGUUUCCAUGUGUAUACUUGCUGACUGUGAAUUCACUGUAGCCCCAAACAGGACAGAUGCGUCCCUGCUGUUGGGAUUGACUUUCAGAUGGAGGAUGCGGAAGAAAUCCUAGAACUGUGCCAGAGCCUGCAGGGCCGAACAGUGGUUUCAGCAGCGAGAGGGAAAUGGUGCCGGAUGGUCAGGACCUUGGGCCAGUUGGAGCCUCUUCUCAAAGCCAGCAGACACUGGCUGUCUCCUUCGUGCCAGGCCCUGUUCCUGGGGUGGGGGGUCAGUGAGGCGUGGCCCCUGCCCUAGAGCUCACCGUCUGAUCCCCCUUGAUUCCGACCUCCUCCUCUUCGUGCCAACCCAGCCCCUCGCCACCCCGACCCCUCCCGCCUGCCCUGCCCUGCCCAGUCCGUCCUGAUGAAUUCCCUUCCCUUUCUUGCCCUUCACCCCACUCCACAAUGUCAGUAACGGUUGAAGAAUAAGCAGCCUAACUACACUCGUGUGAGUGGAACACUGACGCUUCCAUAGCCUGCCCCCUCCGUCUUCCUUCUCAAAUAGGAGCUUGUUACCUUCCAGUCCGUCUCUCUGAGUAGUGCCUGGGAGCUGAGGGGGAGAGUUCUGUGCAGGGAGCCUUCCUGGCUCCUCCUGAGAAACCCUCCCCGAGAACAGGUGUGCCUGGGAGGGAAGGCAGGGACUUUCCAGAAAGGUCUCACCCUGCUCUGAGUUAGGGGCCAGACGCAGGAAUCACCUUGAUGUCACUGCAGGCCUUGCACAUUGCUGGCUUCAUUUGCAUUAAGCCUGGCCUCAUCAGUGCAGCCGGCCUUGGUGUCUGUUUAUCUAAUAGCUUUACUAAUUUUCAUGGUUAGAGUAAGCUGUGGGAGAAAAUGGUGAAGGUUAACUGACCACUCUGGUUAGACGAUACAGUUCUUCAGUUUCUCAUUUAGGAGUAUUUCUGAAAUGUAUUUCCCAUUUAAAUAAUAAAAAAGACAUUACUGAAUCAAAAAGGUUUUGGUAAAAAUAAAGUAAAAUGAUUUACAUUUCGAAGAAUAACAAGAUCCUGUUAGAAAACUGAGGGUCAUCAGUUGCUAAAACAGUUCAGGUUUUAAACGUGGAGAUAUAACGAACUGUCUUCUAAAACAGCGAAGACACACGCAGUGUUCACAGGUCCUGCCCAUUGAGCAGACACUUGUUGAGACCGUGAGGGGCCGUUGGGGGCCGUGGGAGGUACGGAGAUGCCCAGAGCAGACCUGACCCUGGGGGUAGGGGUGUGGUCGGGCGCAAUGAGGAGGGAGCCUGGAAGAGGGUGGCCCUGACCCCGCCUACCAGAUACACCCAGGGUGGCUGCAGCGAGCCGCAGCUGGUAUCUGUGACCACCAGCCACACUGCAUCUGGUCCUCGCUGCCCGGGUGGGUGGGUGAGGUCCAGCUGGGACUUGAGAGCGCCACCAGCGAAGGGUGGAGCCUGGGUUCCGACUGGCAUUCAUUCCCCUUCCGGACAUGGGAGGGCCACGAACAUGCACGAAGGACAGGUCUUUCCUGCUCUCAGGAGUCCUGCCCUUGUCCCUUUUUGAGGUCUGUUUCCUGUUUUGAAUGUGAAAUACUGUCAGCUUCAUUAUUUAGUUUUGGUCUCAAUUUCCUUCUGGUUCUCACUGGAGCAGAUAAUCCUGUUGUAAAGACACUAGCUUGGUAACUCUGCCUGUAUAGCAUCCUUCUGUCCCAUUUCGCCUUUGACUCCUUCACACACGCGGGUGAGAGGCCUCCCUCUUUUCCCUCAAGCAUCUCACACUAGCGGAGGCUCAAGGCCCCCCUUCUUUCUUGCAAAAUCUAGAAACUUCCUUACUUAAGGGUGUGUCCUGUUAUGUUGCUGUCUUGUAAGAGUUUUGUUGUGUUUUUUAAAAAGAUUUUUCAUUCCCUUUCCUAUAUAAAGUGCUUCAUAAGAAAAACUUCCUUUGUAUGCUAUGCACACUUUGGUUUUUUAAAUUCAGCUUGUCUAGGCGUUCCCUUUGUGGCACAGUGGAAACAAAUCCAACUAGGAACCAUGAGGUUGUGGGUUCGAUCCUGGCCUGGCUCAAUGGGUUAAGGAUCCUGCGCAGCUGUGGCUGUGGUGUGGGUCGGCAGCAUCAGCUCCGAUUCGACCCCUAGCCUGGGAACUUCCACAUGGCGCGGGUGUGGCCUUAAAUGAAUAAAUAAAUAUCCUGAGAUCAUAGUCCCUAGUUAAUGAUGCUUGAAUUUUUGCCUCUAUCUUGAAAGUUUGUAAACUUGUUCUGUAUUUGGUUUAAUCUAAACAGUUUCCUGUAUUGAACACUGAUGUACAAGGAAUGAAUAGAAGUCAAGAAAAACAGACCUGGUGGGAAAAAGCCUUGUACUCCCCUCUUUUUCCUGCUGCAGAGUGUGAAGGUAAGGAGCCCUGCGCUUAGCUCGUUCCUUCAUCCGCUCCGACUCCUGAUUCAUUAAGAGCAGUAAGGUCUUUUGCUGUGAAUAUCCCUCCAAGAACCCUUUGGCCAGCGUUUGUCAGGCACUGGGGACACAGAGAUGGACGAGGACUGGACCCCGCUCUUAAACGUGCCACGGCUUGAUGUGGGAAUGCGUGAAAGCAGUGCUGGCCUUUGGUAGGGUGUGUGCACACUCCGGUGGGUGGUGGAGGAGGACCUCCUCGGCUCUGGGGGGCCUGCCGGAGGCCCCCACUGGAAAGGUCAGGGAUGGGCAGUCCCUGGGGGAGAAGGGCCUGAGCCAUGGCAGGUGGGUCUGCAGCGGAGGAGGCGAGACCUGGCCUCUGGGCCCACUGGGCCGCAGCCAGGUUGGAGAGGCAGGCAGGGCAGGGCAGGGCUGAGCUGUGGGGAGGGUCGGUGGUUCUGCUGAGCUGGUCGAUGUGAACAGACAGGAGGAGCAGUGCCGUCUGCUUAAAGAUUUCGCCUGGGAGGGUCGGGUCCGGUGUGUGUUUUAACACCUGUUCCAGCAGCAGUGGAGGAGGGGAGCAGUUGAAAAGCUGACGGGCACCUGCGGGGUUCGCCCAGCGGCCUGGGCCUGGCAGGGUAGGCGCCUGGACUGGGGCGCCCUUGGGGGAGUAGAGGAUAAAGGUCGGCAUCAAGAGGUGGUGGGAGUCCCUGUUGUGCUCGGUGGAAUGAGCCUGAUAGGAUCCAGGAGCAUGCGGGUUUGCUCCCUGGCCUUUGCCGUGAGCUGUGAUGUAGAUUGCAGAGGAGGCUCAGAUCCCACAUUGCUGUGGCUGUGGUGUAGGCUGGCAACUGCAGCUCUGAUUCAACCCCUAGCCUGGGAACCUCCCUAUGCCUCAGGUGCAGCCCU